CGAGUCAAAUCAUUUAGCAAACACAAUAACAUGAAAUGAGAGUGACUGUAAUUACUACUGACAUGUCAACAUAUGCUUAAGCCUAUUCAGACAUGUAAAAUAAUUUGUUUGUUGUUUUAUUGAUAAGUUUCCUUCAAAUAAUUUGUUUGUUGCUUUUUAAUAAGCAUAUAUAGGUUUACCAAAAAAACAGCAUAUAUAGUAGGUAUAGUAUAGACAUUAAUUAUGUAAGAAAUGUAUACCGUAUAGUGUAUAUUUAAAUCAUUUUAAGUUUCAGUCAAAUUUCUGUGUUCUUCUCUAUUAUUUGUUAAGACCAUUUUCAUUUGGGAAGAAGUAUAGAGAAAGAACGUGCGAUCAAUUGAAAAGGAGACGUUGGCUUUUUUUUUUUUUUUUUUUGUCACUGAAAAAGGAGACGUUGGGUAAGGGAGAUAAAUAGAAUAAAACCACAAGAUGUUAUAAGAGAGUGUCUAUUUUUGAGGGUACAAGAUCUAAGAGCAUAUAUUAUCUUUAACUUUUUUUUUUGAGCAAAUAUUAUCUUUAACUAUAACACUGUUUUAUGUCAUAUGCUCUCAAGAUUGGGAUGUUACUUUCAUAUAAAUUUCAAUCCAAUCCAAGCUUUUCAUGUCUUGGAUUUUUAGAACUUCAAAUCUUUGGAAUAGAAAAACGUUAGUUUCCUCUCUUGUUAUUCAACUACUGGUUUCAUAUCAGUUAUGAUAUGUUUCAGAAGGCAAAAAAAUAUCAUGUCCUACGUUACAGACUUUAUACUGAACCAAACAACCAUACCUUAUUUUCGGGAAUAAACUUAGUUUUUUAGCUAAUUCAUACUUGAUUUUGUGCGGCGAAUAGGAGACUGCCACCUCUAGUGUACACAUUCUUUGCACUGAAAUAUAG
rnacentral:lncRNA from 1 species